rnacentral:rRNA from 1 species
AGCGAACGCUGGCGGCAGGCCUAACACAUGCAAGUCGAACGAAGUCUUCGGACUUAGUGGCGGACGGGUAAGUAACACGUGGGAACGUGCCUUUAGGUUCGGAAUAACUCAGGGAAACUUGUGCUAAUACCGAAUGUGCCCUUCGGGGGAAAGAUUUAUCGCCUUUAGAGCGGCCCGCGUCUGAUUAGCUAGUUGGUGGGGUAAUGGCCCACCAAGGCUACGAUCAGUAGCUGGUCUGAGAGGAUGACCAGCCACAUUGGGACUGAGACACGGCCCAAACUCCUACGGGAGGCAGCAGUGGGGAAUUUUGCGCAAUGGGCGAAAGCCUGACGCAGCCAUGCCGCGUGGAUGAUGAAGGUCUUAGGAUUGUAAAAUUCUUUCACCGGGGAAGAUAAUGACGGUACCCGGAGAAGAAGCCCCGGCUAACUUCGUGCCAGCCGCCGCGGUAAAAC